GCAUUUUUUACAAUUUUCCCUAUAUUUUUUUUUAAAAACGUCAUUUUGAAUGUAAUCAGUUAUCAACUAAAAGCCAAUUUGUCAAACAUCUUU